rnacentral:rRNA from 1 species
UGGGGAAUAUUGCACAAUGGGCGCAAGCCUGAUGCAGCCAUGCCGCGUGUGUGAAGAAGGCCUUCGGGAUUGUAAAGCACUUUCAGCGAGGAGGAAGGUGGUGAGCUUAAUACGCUCAUCAAUUGACGUUACUCGCAGAAGAAGCACCGGCUAACUCCGUGCCAAGCAGCCGCGGUAAUACGGAGGGUGCAAGCGUUAAUCGGAAUUACUGGGCGUAAAGCGCACGCAGGCGGUUUGUUAAGUCAGAUGUGAAAUCCCCGGGCUCAACCUGGGAACUGCAUUUGAAACUGGCAAGCUAGAGUCUCGUAGAGGGGGGUAGAAUUCCAGGUGUAGCGGUGAAAUGCGUAGAGAUCUGGAGGAAUACCGGUGGCGAAGGCGGCCCCCUGGACGAAGACUGACGCUCAGGUGCGAAAGCGU